rnacentral:rRNA from 1 species
UAUUGGACAAUGGGCGAAAGCCUGAUCCAGCAAUGCCGCGUGAGUGAUGAAGGCCUUCGGGUCGUAAAGCUCUUUUACCAGGGAUGAUAAUGACAGUACCUGGAGAAUAAGCUCCGGCUAACUCCGUGCCAGCAGCCGCGGUAAUACGGAGGGAGCUAGCGUUGUUCGGAAUUACUGGGCGUAAAGAGUACGUAGGCGGUUAUUCAAGUCAGAGGUGAAAGCCCGGGGCUCAACCCCGGAACUGCCUUUGAAACUAGAUAACUAGAGUCUUGGAGAGGUUAGUGGAAUUCCGAGUGUAGAGGUGAAAUUCGUAGAUAUUCGGAAGAACACCAGUGGCGAAGGCGACUAACUGGACAAGUACUGACGCUGAGUACGGAG